rnacentral:rRNA from 1 species
UACGGAGGGUGCAAGCGUUAAUCGGAAUUACUGGGCGUAAAGCGCACGCAGGCGGUUGGAUAAGUUAGAUGUGAAAGCCCCGGGCUCAACCUGGGAAUUGCAUUUAAAACUGUCCAGCUAGAGUCUUGUAGAGGGGGGUAGAAUUCCAGGUGUAGCGGUGAAAUGCGUAGAGAUCUGGAGGAAUACCGGUGGCGAAGGCGGCCCCCGGGACAAAGAAUGACGAUCAGGUGCGAAAGCGUGGGGAGCAAACAGG